AUCCAGCUGACGAGUCCCAAAUAGGAAUAAACGGUUGUCCUGGAU
rfam:Schistosoma margrebowiei strain Zambia genome assembly, scaffold: SMRZ_contig0002708